rnacentral:rRNA from 1 species
UACGUAGGGUGCGAGCGUUAAUCGGAAUUACUGGGCGUAAAGCGUGCGCAGGCGGUUUUGUAAGACCAAUGUGAAAUCCCCGGGCGUUAACCUGGGAACGUGCAUAGGUGACUGCAAGGCUAGAGUACGGCAGAGGGGGGUAGGAAUUCCACGUGUAGCAGUGAAAUGCGUAGAUAUGUGGAGGAAUACCGAUGGCGAAGGCAGCCCCUCGGGUGAUACUGACGCUCAUGCACGAAAGACGUGGGGAGGCAAAC